rnacentral:rRNA from 1 species
CUACGGGCCGCAGCAGUGAGGAAUAUUGCACAAUGGGGGGAACCCUGAUGCAGCAACGCCGCGUGGAGGAUGACGCAUUUCGGUGUGUAAACUCCUUUUAUAUGUCAAGAAAAUGACGGUAGCAUAUGAAUAAGCACCGGCUAACUCCGUGCCAGCAGCCGCGGUAAUACGGAGGGUACAAGCGUUACUCGGAAUCACUGGGCGUAAAGGACGCGUAGGCGGGUUGGAAAGUCAGGUGUGAAAUCCUACAGCUUAACUGUAGAACUGCACUUGAAACUUCUAAUCUAGAGUAUGGGAGGGGAAGAUGGAAUUAGUGGGGUAGGGGUAAAAUCCGUAGAUAUCACUAGGAAUACCUAAAGCGAAGGCGAUCUCCUGGAACAUUACUGACGCUAAGGCGUGAAAGCGUGGGGAGCAAACAGGAUUAGAUACCCCCGUAGUC